rnacentral:rRNA from 1 species
UUGGAGGGCAAGUCUGGUGCCAGCAGCCGCGGUAAUUCCAGCUCCAAUAGCGUAUAUUAAAGUUGUUGCAGUUAAAAAGCUCGUAGUUGAAUUUCGAGACCGGUUUACUGGUCGUGCUUUUGUACGUACUGGUAUUAUUGGUUUCUCCUUUCUGACGAAUCUUAAUGCCAUUAAUUUGGUGUUUUGGGGAAUCAGGACUGUUACUUUGAAAAAAUUAGAGUGUUUAAAGCAGGCUCACGCUUGAAUACAUUAGCAUGGAAUAACGGAAUAGGACGUUUGAUUUUAUUUUGUUGGUUUCUAGGAUCGACGUAAUGAUUAAUAGGGAUAGUUGGGGGCAUUAGUAUUCAAUUGUCAGAGGUGAAAUUCUUGGAUUUAUUGAAGACUAACUACUGCGAAAGCAUUUGCCAAGGAUGUUUUCAUUAAUCAAGAACGAAAGUUAGGGGAUCGAAGACGAUCAGAUACCGUCGUAGUCUUAACCAUAAACUAUGCCGACUAGGGAUCGGAUGAUGUUAAUUUUUUAAUGACUCAUUCGGCGCCUUACGGGAAAC